GUGAAUCAUCGAAUCUUUGAACGCAAAUUGCACUCUCCUCGGAGAGUAUGCCUGUUUGAGGGUCAGCCUAUAAAAAAUCAACAUCAUAGCUGUUUCUCGACGGCGUUCGUCGGAAAUUGGGGCAUCUUAAAUCUUUUGGUUUUAAGCGACUUAAAAUUUUCUUUUUGGUUCCAUUAGCGUUUCUAAGAUUUAUUUCUUUACACGUUUAAGGUAUCGAUUUUUAUUAGACGGGACCAUCAGAUCGGAUCGCGCCCGUAGUCUUU
rnacentral:misc_RNA from 1 species